rnacentral:rRNA from 1 species
GGACAACCUACCCUCAGAUCUGGGAUAACUCCGGGAAACUGGAGAUAAUACCGGAUAAUCCGUGAACGCUGGAAUGCCUUACGGUUUAAAGCUUUAGCGUCUGAGGAUGGGUCUGCGGCCGAUUAGGUAGUUGCUGGGGUAACGUCCCAGCAAGCCGAUAAUCGGUACGGGUUGUGAGAGCAAGAGCCCGGAGAUGGAUUCUGAGACACGAAUCCAGGUCCUACGGGGCGCAGCAGGCGCGAAAACUUUACACUGCGCGAAAGCGCGAUAAGGGGACCUCGAGUGCGUGCGCAAUGCGUACGCUUUUCAUACGCCUAAAAAGCAUGUGGAAUAAGAGCCGGGCAAGACCGGUGCCAGCCGCCGCGGUAACACCGGCGGCUCGAGUGGUGGCCGCUAUUAUUGGGCUUAAAGGGUCCGUAGCCGGACCAGUUAGUCCCUUGGGAAAUCUUACGGCUUAACCGUAAGGCUGCCAAUGGAUACUGCUGGUCUUGGGACCGGGAGAGGCAAGAGGUACCUCAGGGGUAGGAGUGAAAUCCUGUAAUCCUUGAGGGACCGCCAGUGGCGAAGGCGUCUUGCUAGAACGGGUUCGACGGUGAGGGACGAAAGCUAGGGGCACGAACCGGAUUAGAUACCCGGGUAGUCCUAGCCGUAAACGAUGCGAGCUAGGUGUCACGUGGAUUGCGAAUCCAUGUGGUGCCGUAGGGAAACCGUGAAGCUCGCCGCCUGGGAAGUACGGCCGUAAGGCUGAAACU